GGAUUUGGAGCUGUGCUUCUCCUCUGCUGUCUGAUCUACUGCAGAUCAAAUAACACAGUCACCAGCAGAACAAUCAGGAAUCUUCAGCUUUCUCUGGUCUUUUAUCCAAACAUCUGUAUGUUCUUUGCCUUUAUCUUCUGGGUUCUUACUGAAGAACUUCUGAAUGAGACCAUCACUUGCUGUGCUCUUAAUAUUCUGAGGUCUUUAAUGUUGAUUUGGG